GAUGAACGCUGGCGGCGUGCCUAAUACAUGCAAGUCGAGCGAACAGACGAGGAGCUUGCUCCUCUGACGUUAGCGGCGGACGGGUGAGUAACACGUGGAUAACCUACCUAUAAGACUGGGAUAACUUCGGGAAACCGGAGCUAAUACCGGAUAAUAUAUUGAACCGCAUGGUUCAAUAGUGAAAGACGGUUUUGCUGUCACUUAUAGAUGGAUCCGCGCCGCAUUAGCUAGUUGGUAAGGUAACGGCUUACCAAGGCAACGAUGCGUAGCCGACCUGAGAGGGGGAUCGGCCACACUGGAACUGAGACACGGCCCAGACUCCGACGGGAGGCAGCAGUAGGGAAUCGUCCGCAAGGGGCGAAAGCCUGAGGGAGCAAGGCCGCGGGAGUGAUGAAGGUCUUCGGAUCGUAAAACUCUGUUAUUAGGGAAGAACAAAUGUGUAAGUAACUAUGCACGUCUGGACGGUACCUAAUCAGAAAGCCACGGCUAACUACGU
rnacentral:rRNA from 1 species